CUCUUAUCCAGAGAGGUGGAGGGGCUGGCCCGAUGAAACCCGGCAACCGGUGAUGGUAAAUCACUAUGGUGCCAAUUCCUGCAAAGCGAUUUUGCUUUGAGAGAUGAGAA
rnacentral:ncRNA from 2 species